UACAGUCAAAUCACAAAGAACACAUUGGUUCUCAUUCGAUCACCGAAGUUAAGCAUCAUAGAGUCAGGUCAGUACUUAGAUGGGGUCCACUUGAGAACACCAGGUACUGUA